CAUAGUUGUUAAGGAGGCUUGCAUAGAAAAAAAGGAAACCAAAAUAUUUAAGGACUGGUUUUAGCAUUAAUUACAUAAUUUAUAAAUUAUCUUACAUAGUUAUGAAUUCUGAACAAUUCUGAAGGGCCUAAUCCACUUAGCCCUUAACUCUGCUAACAUGCAGGUCUACUUAUCUAUAAAGAGAGGCAACAAUUUGAACAUUGCUAUGGACAUCUGUAGACAUCUUUCAGUGGGAAGCUGAAAAAUUUUCACUAUAGGAAGACAUUACCAUUUCUGGCAAUGGUCAGAUCACCAGAUUCCAGGGGGAGGUCAGGUCUACCUUCCCAGCACCACUCAGUUUCUAUUUUCUCUUUUGUUCUAGCCCUAUUUCUCUCUUUCUCCUUCUCAUCUGCUCUUAAAAAAAAAAAAAAUCCAUUAUAGACCUUGGUGAUUGCCUCCACUCUUGUCCAUGCUCUUUCUACUGCAUCCUGCUGACAAGAAGGGAAAGUGUGGGAACUGAUGGAGGUUCAGCAGGCUCUGUUGUCAGCCCAACAAAAGCACCAAAGAAGGUUUCUGUUUUUCCUCUCUUCCUAAGUUUCCUGGCUGACAUUUUACUACAUCAUCACGUACGGCGAACUGGAUUGUGAAUGCCCUUAGAUGCCAUUGGAAGGGAUUUAGAUUUCACUUUCUAAGUAGGCAAUGCGAGUCCAUUCAGAGAUUGUGAAGUGGAAGAAUAUCAUGAUCAGAUCUGUGUGGCUGAUGAAUAGAGACAAAUCUGAUGUCUGGGGUUAUAUUAUUGAGAUUCAAUAAAUGCUAAUUCU
rnacentral:lncRNA from 10 species